UGCAUGAAGUUGGAAUUGCUAGUAAUCGCGGAUCAGCAUGCCGCGGUGAAUACGUUCCCGGGCCUUGUACACACCGCCCGUCAAGCCAUGGGAGCCGGGGGUACCUGAAGUGCGUAACCGCGAGGAGCGCCCUAGGGUAAAACUGGUGACUGGGGCUAAGUCGUAACAAGGUACC
rnacentral:rRNA from 1 species